rnacentral:rRNA from 1 species
CCUACGGGAGGCAGCAGUGGGGAAUAUUGCUCAAUGGGGGAAACCCUGAAGCAGCAACGCCGCGUGGAGGAUGAAGGUUUUCGGAUUGUAAACCCCUUUUGUUAGGGAAGAUAAUGACGGUACCUAACGAAUAAGCACCGGCUAACUCCGUGCCAGAAGCCGCGGUAAUACGGAGGGUGCAAGCGUUACUCGGAAUUACUGGGCGUAAAGAGCGCGUAGGCGGGAUAGCAAGUCAGCUGUGAAAUGCUAGGGCUUAACCAGAGAACUGCAUUGGAAACUGUUGUUCUUGAGUAUGGGAGAGGUAGGUGGAAUUCUUGGUGUAGGGGUAAAAUCCGUAGAGAUCAAGAGGAAUACUCAUUGCGAAGGCGACCUGCUAGAACGGAACUGACGCUGAUGCGCGAAAGCGUGGGGAGCAAACAGGAUUAGAUACCCUAGUAGUC